UAGCUCAGUGGGUAGAGAGCCUGCCUGCAAUGCAGGAGUCUGCCUGCAAUGCAGGAGACCUGGGUUCAAUUCCUGG
rnacentral:tRNA from 1 species